UACGAAGGGGGCUAGCGUUGCUCGGAAUGACUGGGCGUAAAGGGCGCGUAGGCGGUCGGAUAAGUCUUGUGUGAAAUCUUCGGGCUCAACUCGAAGUCUGCACAGGAAACUAUCUGGCUUGAGUGUGGGAGAGGUGAGUGGAAUUCCUGGUGUAGCGGUGAAAUGCGUAGAUAUCAGGAGGAACACCUGUGGCGAAGGCGGGUCUCUGGGCAGUAACUGACGCUGAGGAGCGAAAGCGUGGGGAGCGAACAGG
rnacentral:rRNA from 1 species